GGAGAGGUGUCCGAGAGGCCGAAGGAGCACGCUUGGAAAGCGUGUAUAGGGGAAACUCUAUCGAGGGUUCGAAUCCCUCCCUCUCCG
rnacentral:tRNA from 1 species